rnacentral:rRNA from 1 species
AGAGUUUGAUCAUGGCUCAGGAUGAACGCUGGCGGCGUGCCUAACACAUGCAAGUCGAGCGAGAAGGUUAUGACGGAUUCUUCGGAUGAUGGAUUAACUGGAAAGCGGCGGACGGGUGAGUAACGCGUGGGUAACCUGCCCCAUACACAGGGAUAGCCAUUGGAAACGAUGAUUAAUACCUGAUAACACAUUUAAGUCGCAUGGCUUAAAUGUCAAAGAUUUAUCGGUAUGGGAUGGACCCGCGUCUGAUUAGCUAGUUGGUAAGGUAACGGCUUACCAAGGCGACGAUCAGUAGCCGACCUGAGAGGGUGAUCGGCCACACUGGAACUGAGACACGGUCUAGACUCCUACGGGAGGCAGCAGUGGGGAAUAUUGCACAAUGGGCGCAAGCCUGAUGCAGCAACGCCGCGUGAGCGAAGAAGGUCUUCGGAUCGUAAAGCUCUUUUCUUAGGGAAGAAAAAUGACGGUACCUAAGGAAUAAGCACCGGCUAAAUACGUGCCAGCAGCCGCGGUAAUACGUAUGGUGCAAGCGUUAUCCGGAAUCACUGGGCGU